rnacentral:rRNA from 1 species
AAGAAUAUUAUUAAUAUU